GUGUAAAGCGCUUUGGGGUCCUUACACUCUAAAAAAUAUUCGUUGUGUUUGUCGGUAGAACUUAACAAAAAACCACUUUUCUGCUAAAAAAAGUAAGUUGUCUACAUGUACACGUUUCAGUGAGUUGACUAAUCAAUGUUAAAAGUCAGUGCAACACAAAAAUUAAAAAACAGCUCCUUAACUUAAAUGUUUGAGUAUAUUGAAUAAAAUACUUUUGUCAUCAAUCAACAACAGAAAAUAUUAAGUUUGUGUAACAUGUAAAAAUGAGUUUCAACAUCCUUCCUGUUUGAAUUGAGACCGUUCAGACCGCAGAGGGCAACCCCGUAGCAUAUGUUCGUAUCGUGCACAACAGUUUCUGGAUUCUUGUGGCCUCGUGGGAGAAGAGGUGUGUUUGCCCUUGACUGUGUUCGGUGAAUUAAACAACCUUGGUGCACACUCUCUUGGAGGAUUUGUGGAGAGUUUCUCAAGUGCGUAUGUCUGCAGGUUUUGUCUUGGAGAACGGUCCCAAAUCCAAGUAUCUCAAUGUCUCAUCCUGCUAAACUUCGGAUCAUACUCAAAGACCAUAACAUUCGAAAAUUGGACUUACCACAUGGAAUCCCUGGAACAGUGGAGGAACUUGAAUCUAUUGUGAAAGACACUUUUGAGGUUGAUGGAAAGUUUACU